rnacentral:rRNA from 1 species
AACGAACGCUGGCGGCAGGCUUAACACAUGCAAGUCGAACGCCCCGCAAGGGGAGUGGCAGACGGGUGAGUAACGCGUGGGAAUCUACCUAGUUCUACGGAACAACGCAGGGAAACUUGUGCUAAUACCGUAUACGCCCUACGGGGGAAAGAUUUAUCGGAAUUAGAUGAGCCCGCGUAAGAUUAGCUAGUUGGUGGGGUAAUGGCCUACCAAGGCGACGAUCUUUAGCUGGUCUGAGAGGAUGAUCUGCCACACUGGGACUGAGACACGGCCCAGACUCCUACGGGAGGCAGCAGUGGGGAAUAUUGGACAAUGGGCGAAAGCCUGAUCCAGCCAUGCCGCGUGAGUGAUGAAGGCCUUAGGGUUGUAAAGCUCUUUCAGUAGGGAAGAUAAUGACGGUACCUACAGAAGAAGCCCCGGCUAACUUCGUGCCAGCCGCCGCAGUAAUAC